ensembl:lncRNA novel transcript
AGGCAACCUCCUCAACAGGCCAUGGCAACAAGGCCACUUCACCAUCCCUGCAGUGAUUCCUCAGUAAUUCACCACCAGAAGCACCAUCACCUUCCUUCUGUGUCCCUCCACAAAGCCAGUUGGGACUUCUAGAUAUUUUUGAAGGCAUAUUGAACUAGAUGGUGUUCUAGGGUACUAAUUUCAAGCUGUUGUUCUCCUAACCAUGCCACCAUAGCAGCAAUUUUAUUCUGAUGCAUAGAUUUGUAUAGAGAGGGUAAGAAAUUAUUCCAUGAAGUGAUCCCUUCUCAGAAUUUUAAAUAAGAAAUGGAAAAACUUUCUGUACUCUCAGAGUUUUCAUAAUUUCCCCUGGGGUAGGAGGGCAGGUGCAGAAGGGAACGGAACAAAGAUAAAGAAACAGCCACGUGGACGUGUGGUGGAAGAUCGUUUGAAGGAGGAGAAGAGCAAGUCAAAGGCCCUGAGGCAAGAGCACACUGGGCAUGUUCAAGACAAACAACAACAAAGCAAACAAGCAAGCAAAAAAACUCUAAAGCAAAGGAGAUCCAAAAGGAAAAUUCCAAAUGCCUUGGCAUCUGGGUAGGGCAAUAUUUUGCAGCAAGAAGUCUCUAUCAUCUCUGAGUCACCAUUCAUAGGAAACAGCUCAGCCCCUUCGGGGAUUCUGGGAGUUGGAAGAGGCCAACUUUUCCUACCUGCAGUUUGAAGAUUAAGGACUUAGAGAUUUGUUGAGAGGCUGCUUCCGAGAGGUUACUGAUACACUGAGGACAGGAACUACUGACUACUCUGAAUGAGGGAAAAACAUCCAGUUUGGGGUGAUCCUGUUUUGCAAUGGCAGCUGUCAGCCAUAACAUGGUGGGAAAUAACGGUAAAUAAACCUCCUGUGAUUGGCAAGAAUAUAAAAAAA